CUGAGAUAAUGAAUUCCUCGUCUCUGAUGAAGUGUGCCUGGUGGCACAGGAAACGCGUUGGAUCUUUUUGGCAUUGACUCUGUAAGCGAACCAUUGGCUUCGAUUUUUGAACAUGGUGUCCGUGAUGUGCAAGAUCUCGCCACAUGUCACCUGAAGACCACCGCCUAUACGCCCUUCCAUGGACUGGUUCACUCGUACAUAGAAUGAAUCCCCUGAAGAGCAGGAGCCGCUCUCAAUGUCAUUCAGCAGUUUGCGAUAUUCUAAGAAACACAAAGAAAAAGAAACAUUUUCAAGGAUUAAAGUUCAUUGUUUUCCCCGCUAUUGACAUAAGAAAAUUAAGUUGUUUUCUUUUCUUAUUCCA